CAGUCGCCGCGGUAAAACAGAGGAUGCAAGCGUUAUCCGGAAUGAUUGGGCGUAAAGCGCGCGCAGGCGGAUAGGUCAGUCUGUCUUAAAAGUUCGGGGCUUAACCCCGUGAUGGGAUGGAAACUGCCAAUCUAGAGUAUCGGAGAGGAAAGUGGAAUUCCUAGUGUAGCGGUGAAAUGCGUAGAUAUUAGGAAGAACACCAGUGGCGAAGGCGACUUUCUGGACGAAAACUGACGCUGAGGCGCGAAAGCCAGGGGAGCGAACAGGAUUAGAUACCCCCGUAGUCCCUGUCUCUUAUACA
rnacentral:rRNA from 1 species